CCGUGGCCUUUGCGUGACCGGUUUCCCAGCGCAGGUGAGCUCGGUUUGAACGCUACCUGCAAGAUCACUUGCCUACGUGUCACUUAGAAUGCAGUUUCUGAAAAUUGCCCAUUUGGUUCCGUGUCUGCACCUGGAUUCGAACCAGAUCGAUUGUAAUCAUCUCAGCCCUUCCCUUUCAAUUUGCAUCAGGAUAAUUUCCGUAAUGUGAAGGCUCAAAGGCAGUUUUGUUUUCUGGGGAAGUUAAAAGGAUUGUGAUCAAACAGGGGCAUUCGGUCUACCCCCACCUCUCUGCCCUCCCUCUACAAAAGCCACGUCAGGAAAAGGAAGACUUCAGUGACCCCGGACAGUGGUGGGUCAGGAUAGGUUACAGAUCCUGUAGAAGGCGGAUGGAAGGAUCUCCGGGAGACUGAACGAUUCCCUCGCCUCGCUCUCUCGCUGUUCAUAGCUGGACGUUUAUCCCCUCUCCUGGAAGCGUCUCGAGCAACCGAGCGAACUCUAUCCCUGCCUGACGCCGAGCCAAACAAACAAUACCUAUUGUAAAAGUUUUGUUCGUUCGGCUCGCGUUACGCAGGGGUGGUAUAUCUGCGGAGAAACCGCCCCAUCCCCCUCACCCCCCUCCACCUCCCAUGACCUUGCAGAGAAUUGACCCUUGUACACACCAACGUUGCUACAGUCCCAGCGACGGAUGCUGAGUGGCAGUGGAUCUCGUGAAAUGUCCUCACCGCCUCAAAACGGCGACUGAUCCCAUAUGUUCCAUCAUCUUUUUUUCAUAACGUAGCUUUCAAAAAAAAGGGUCCUAACUUGUAAGACGAUCAAAGUUGUACUGGGAAACGACUGAAAUACAUUACAGAUGUGAUUGUGUUUCUGUUUUUUUUUAAAAAAAAAUAAA